GACGAACGCUGGCGGCGUGCCUAACACAUGCAAGUCGAACGGUAAGGCCCUUCGGGGUACACGAGUGGCUAACGGGUGAGGAACACGUGGGUGAUCUGACCUGCACUUCGCGAUAAGCCCGGGAAAAUGGGUCUAAGAGCGGAUAGGACGCUGGGAUGCAUGUACUGGGGGGGAAAGCUGUUGUGGUGUGGGAUGGGCCCGGGGCCUAUCAGCUUGUUGGUGGGGUGAGUGCCUACCAAGGCGACGACGGGUAGCCGGCCUGAGAGGGUGACCGGCCACACUGGGACUGAGAUACGGCCCAGACUCCUACGGGAGACAGCAGUGGGGAAUAUUGCACAAUGGGCGCAAGCCUGAUGCAGCGACGCCGCGUGAGGGAUGACGGCCUUCGGGUUGUAAACCUCUUUCAGCACCGACGAAGCGCAAGUGACGGUAGGUGCAGAAGAAGGACCGGCCAACUACGUGCCAGCCGCCGCCGUAA
rnacentral:rRNA from 1 species